UUUAGGCCAUUGUGAGGGAGAGAAUCAUGAUUCCUAAAUCUGUAUUUCCAGCUGGAAUUCUCCUCAUCUGUCAAUAGACUAACCCACUGACGCCCUGGAGAGAAUCCAGAGCAGGCUGUCUUUUCCUCACCCUCAGGCAUUUCCCAGCACAAAGAGGAAUUUACCCCAAAAUGGGGACAGGAUUUGCCCAGAUGCAAGCCUUACAAGAAGAAAAAAGAAGAGAGAGGCGGGAGAAGGGAGUGAGGUUCUGAAAUACCCAACACGAAUGGAAGUUGGGAAAAAGAGAGCCUGUCACAAAAGUACUCAUAAACAGAAAUUAAUCUGACUGACAGAGCAUAACAUUUAAAAUAACUUGGUGGGGAAAUGCAUAUGUUUAUUCAUAAAUAAAAAGGGAAA